ensembl:lncRNA
CUGACGGCUAAUUGAGACCCGCCGGGUUUAAGUGUGUGCCAGGUGACAGAGCUGUUACAGGUCAGGUGACCCUUUUUGGGUUUAAAGGGAUGGCGAGCCAACAAGCGGCUGUGAGCCAGAAUCUUCCUCCACAGAAGCUUCCCGCUGGUCUGGUAGGAAGUUGUCAAAGACGACGCUCUGUCCCCCUCCCUGAACUCAUUAUUCAGUUACACUGAUUUUCACAGCCUUGCACAUCAUUCCCCCCGUUUAUGGACAAUAGAGCUGGGACAUUUCUCAUGGACACUUGGAUAAAGUCAUGGAAAGAAUAUACUCCUGUGUGCACCAGUGUUUUUGAUAGUGAC